rnacentral:pre_miRNA from 2 species
UGGAGCCCCACAGGGGUGACCUGAGAUCACAUGUAUGUGGCAACAGCAGAACCCAAGAGGGCCAUCGUUCGGUCCUGCUGUUCUUUGCAUUCCACGUGUUCUCAGGUCGCCCCUGCAGGGCUUUC